rnacentral:rRNA from 1 species
UACGUAGGUGGCGAGCGUUGUCCGGAUUUACUGGGCGUAAAGAGCGCGCAGGCGGUCGUUCAAGUCGCGUGUGAAAGCCCCCGGCUCAACUGGGGAGGGUCACGCGAUACUGAUCGACUCGAAGGCAGGAGAGGGAAGUGGAAUUCCCGGUGUAGUGGUGAAAUGCGUAGAUAUCGGGAGGAACACCCGUGGCGAAGGCGGCCAGCUGGGCCGUCCCUGACGCUGAGGCGCGAAGGCGUGGGGAGCGAACGGG